rnacentral:rRNA from 1 species
AGUGAACGCUGGCGGUAGGCCUAACACAUGCAAGUCGAACGGCAGCACAGUAAGAGCUUGCUCUUACGGGUGGCGAGUGGCGGACGAGUGAGGAAUACAUCGGAAUCUACUUUUUAGUGGGGGAUAACGUAGGGAAACUUACGCUAAUACCGCAUACGACCUACGGGUGAAAGCAGGGGAUCUUCGGACCUUGCGCGAUUGAAUGAGCCGAUGUCGGAUUAGCUAGUUGGCGGGGUAAAGGCCCACCAAGGCGACGAUCCGUAGCUGGUCUGAGAGGAUGAUCAGCCACACUGUAACUGAGACACGGUCCAGACUCCUACGGGAGGCAGCAGUGGGGAAUAUUGGACAAUGGGCGCAAGCCUGAUCCAGCCAUACCGCGUGGGUGAAGAAGGCCUUCGGGUUGUAAAGCCCUUUUGUUGGGAAAGAAAAGCAGCAGGUUAAUACCCCGCUGUUCUGACGGUACCCAAAGAAUAAGCACCGGCUAACUUCGUG